UACCGAAGGUACCAAACAUGGCAUCGCCAUACAACCAUGCAAAAGGGCUCUUUGGCCGCUGGGAAAAAGAAACCGACAACAUGUAAUCAUCAAUGUGAAGCAACAAAGGGGCGGGAAAUUGUACCACCGUCAAUAAAAGGCACGAUCGGCGGGAAUUUUUUAAUCAUUGAUAAAUAUGUCAAAAACACGACAUGUCUUAAAGGACAUGGGUGCAUUUUUUACCAAAACACAUAGGGUUUGAUAAGUUGCAGCUUUGACAAGAAGGAAAAACAAGGGUUUGUGUGACUGCGUGAAAGAGGGAGCUUCAAUUGGAGGGUGGAUAUCAAAGAUUUCGACUACACAAAACAAUGAUGCAACCAAGGAUCGUGUUUGGCUUUGCAGGCAUGGUGGAAGCCAACACAUAACACCUGAAGUUCCUCAAUCAUAAUUGUUUACAUUCUCUUGCAAUGGUAAAAGGGGGAGGAAGGGCAACAAGCAAUCUUAGCAAACAAGGGGAGCACAUGUCAAAGCAUCAUUAACUUCUAGCCCACGAAGUCCCCAUUGACGUCUAUCUUUUUACAGCACUACGGGUGCACAACGUAUGGAUUAUAGAGAAUAGUAAAUGGGAGGUGGACGACACUGGUAUUAGUUUUGCAACAUUAAUAGAGAUAUGACUUUCAUAACUUUUACUGAUAAAAGGAGAUUGUCAGGCAUUGUAGAAGAUUACAAUCCACACUUUGUAUGUUUCACAAGGGCGUACCAACAGUUGCUCGGUUGGCACGUCAGCAUGCAGGGAGACGUUCUGGGCCAGCCAAUACUACAAUUCGACAUUGCAUCUUGGCACUGGUUUCUAACUGUAAGGGAUCAUACAUGACAGGUUGAGGAUAUCAAUUUCUCUCUUUUGUAUUGGUCAUCAUUGUUCCCUCACAUUGUUGUAUCCUGUACCACGACAUAUACAAACAAUCAAGGACAUGUGACACCGUUAGUGCCAAUGAAUGGAUAGAAAAUUCUUGUGACAAUUUUCCCACAAAUCUGUUGGUCUUGGAGUAUACGGACAUGUUUACUAGACGAUGCAGAGUCGGAAAUCGAAAUUGAUUUUCGAGGAUUCUAUCUAGAUUUCCAUGAUAGUCAUUGAUAAGUAACAUUUUUGGUUCUUGCUAAUUUGUAAGACAUUGAUAUGUAACACAAAAACCACUUUGUUGAUGACUGGAAGCAAUGCAUUUUAAUCA